rnacentral:lncRNA from 1 species
UGCCCAUGCACCAAGAUGUAAAUUCUGUCACUCAUUACCUUCCCUUGCCCACCACAGCUCAGAUCAGGCACACUUCAAGUGUUUCAUUGCCACAUGGCUGGGCCCACGCUGAGGGUGGCCCGUUCAGAACCUAUUCAACUCUAUCUGCUUCAAAGCGUCUCACCAGGACUACAGAGAAUAAGAACCCACUAUCAAAAUGCAAUUUAAAUGGAGGAAGGAUGAAGAGAAGGAAGAAGGAGAAGAGAGAGAGGGAGGUAAGUGAGAAAGCAAGAGAGAGAGGGAGAAAGAAAGAAAGGAGAAAGGAAGGAAGAAAGGAAGAUCCAUCGACAAUUACCUUGUUCCUUGACUUGCCACAACUUAUAUCUUAAUAAACCCACUGCAAGUUGAAAACAUCACAAGUCAAAAUUCAGUAAUACAAAUGACCUAUUGAAUAUCAUGGCCUAGCCUAGCCCACCUUGAACAUGCUCAGUUGGACAUCACAAGUAUACCAUUCCUUGUAUUGCUAGCUUGGAAAAAGAUCAAAGCUUGAAGUAUUUUUCUACUGAAUUUGUAUUGCUUCUGUAUCAUCAUGAAGUUGAAAAAUCUUAAGUCAGACUGUGGUAAGUUGGGGACUUUUACUGCU